GACGAACGCUGGCGGCGUGCUUAACACAUGCAAGUCGAACGAUGAAGAAAAGAAUCGAAGCUUCGGCAGAAAUUCAUUUCGGAUUAGUGGCAGACGGGUGAGUAACGCUUGAGCAACCUACCUCUUACAAAGGGAUAGCCUCGGGAAACCGGGAUUAAUACCAUAUAACAUUGCGACGAAGCAUUUCGAUGCAAUCAAAGCUACGGCGGUAAGAGAUGGGCUCGCGUCCCAUUAACCGGAUGGUGAGGUAACGGCUCACCAUAGCGACGCUGGGUAACCGGGAUGAGAGAGUGAACGGUCACACUGGAGCUGAGACACGGUACAGACUCCUACGGGAGGCAGCAGUGGGGAAUAUUGCACAAUGGAGGGAACUCUGAUGCAGCGACGCCGCGUGAGUGAUGAAGGAAUUCGUUAAGUAAAACUCUGUUCUAUGGGAAGAAAAGGACGGUACCAUAGGAGAAAGCUCCGGCUAAAUACGUG
rnacentral:rRNA from 1 species